UGCCCAGCAACUCCUAUCCUUACCACCUCGCUGUACUGGCCGGGGUACAAGUAACCUUAGGGAAGAUCGGCUAGCCAAUCCCGGUGGGAACUCUGGUUGUAUGCUGACAGGGAAGG
rfam:Aedes aegypti strain Liverpool supercont1.235 genomic scaffold, whole genome shotgun sequence.